rnacentral:lncRNA from 1 species
GGCGGCUGUAAAGGACCAGGCCUCGGCAUCCAGCGUCUGGGGGCGCUGGGGGAUCGAGGCGCGAAGCUUGUCUGUGGCUGGGAAAGACCGGCAAUGCCCCACCAGGCCGUCCCAUUAACCCUGCCGAGGGACCUGCCGCGUCAGACUUCAUCGGGGAAAAGGGCGGGACACGGGCGGUCCCGGGUGCCUAGAAGCCUCCUUUUCGUCUUUCCGCCGUGGUGGAAUCAUCCGCAAGGUUUACCGAGGCGACCUCCGGAGCGAAGGUUUCAGCAGCUACCGGAGGCUUCCAGCAAACACGGCGCAGCUGCCCCGCGCGGCAGUCGCAGUGUUCACAGCCCUAGGGUUCUCCAGCUGUGCCUCGUCUUCUCUGGGGCCCCUUUCUUCCUUUUCCUUGCCCUCAGGAAUUCCCCUCAAGUCAUAUCCACCAGCCAUCACUUCCGCUUGGAAUGAACCACGGCCAAGUCACUCACCAAAAAUUAUAAGGAGGAAACCAUUUCGGCCACUUGUGUCACGUGCGUUGAUGUGACACGUGUGGAUGUGAAGUUUGAGAUGGUCUGCGUCACAACUCGUUGGAGGGAGUGGGUGGGUUGAGGCCUCCUGCAAGGUCUAUGUGAGGGUGUGGAGUACUAAUUAGAGUUAAAGAGCUCGGCAGCUGUUUGGUCACUGGCACUGGCCUCCACUGAGAGGGACAUGGGUAGGGAGGACACGUCUUUUGCAAGGAAAGACAGUAAACUGAGAUUUGGAGCCCAGGGAAAGGUAUCUAACUUAUCCUAGGAGAAAAAGAAAACGGCUAUGAAAUUCUCUAAUUUUUCCUGACUUGCUUAUAUGAGAGCCUAAGAUUUUUCAGGUUUGAAGGAAAAGAAUAAGCACUCCUAGACAAAACAACAAAGUAGUAGUGGGGGACUGGCCAAAUGUCCAGUCUGUGUGCAUUGUGGUCAAUCUUAUCCAACUAAAACAGACCAAAAUGACAGUAAGCCCAAAUCCUGCAAAUAGAGCUCCCCAUUCCUAACCCCCUAGGC